rnacentral:rRNA from 1 species
AUUAAUGAGAGUUUGAUCCUGGCUCAGGACGAACGCUGGCGGCGUGCCUAAUACAUGCAAGUAGAACGCUGAAGAGAGGAGCUUGCUCUUCUUGGAUGAGUUGCGAACGGGUGAGUAACGCGUAGGUAACCUGCCUUGUAGCGGGGGAUAACUAUUGGAAACGAUAGCUAAUACCGCAUAACAAUGGAUGACACAUGUCAUUUAUUUGAAAGGGGCAAUUGCUCCACUACAAGAUGGACCUGCGUUGUAUUAGCUAGUAGGUGAGGUAAUGGCUCACCUAGGCGACGAUACAUAGCCGACCUGAGAGGGUGAUCGGCCACACUGGGACUGAGACACGGCCCAGACUCCUACGGGAGGCAGCAGUAGGGAAUCUUCGGCAAUGGGGGCAACCCUGACCGAGCAACGCCGCGUGAGUGAAGAAGGUUUUCGGAUCGUAAAGCUCUGUUGUAAGUCAAGAACGGGUGUGAGAGUGGAAAGUUCACACUGUGACGGUAGCUUACCAGAAAGGGACGGCUAACUACGUGCAAGCAGCCGCGGUAAUACGUAGGUCCCGAGCGUUGUCCGGAUUUAUUGGGCGUAAAGCGAGCGCAGGCGGUUUGAUAAGUCUGAAGUUAAAGGCUGUGGCUCAACCAUAGUUCGCUUUGGAAACUGUCAAACUUGAGUGCAGAAGGGGAGAGUGGAAUUCCAUGUGUAGCGGUGAAAUGCGUAGAUAUAUGGAGGAACACCGGUGGCGAAAGCGGCUCUCUGGUCUGUAACUGACGCUGAGGCUCGAAAGCGUGGGGAGCGAACAGGAUUAGAUACCCUGGUAGUCCACGCCGUAAACGAUGAGUGCUAGGUGUUGGAUCCUUUCCGGGAUUCAGUGCCGCAGCUAACGCAUUAAGCACUCCGCCUGGGGAGUACGACCGCAAGGUUGAAACUCAAAGGAAUUGACGGGGGCCCGCACAAGCGGUGGAGCAUGUGGUUUAAUUCGAAGCAACGCGAAGAACCUUACCAGGUCUUGACAUCCCGAUGCUAUUUCUAGAGAUAGAAAGUUACUUCGGUACAUCGGUGACAGGUGGUGCAUGGUUGUCGUCAGCUCGUGUCGUGAGAUGUUGGGUUAAGUCCCGCAACGAGCGCAACCCCUAUUGUUAGUUGCCAUCAUUCAGUUGGGCACUCUAGCGAGACUGCCGGUAAUAAACCGGAGGAAGGUGGGGAUGACGUCAAAUCAUCAUGCCCCUUAUGACCUGGGCUACACACGUGCUACAAUGGUUGGUACAACGAGUUGCGAGUCGGUGACGGCGAGCUAAUCUCUUAAAGCCAAUCUCAGUUCGGAUUGUAGGCUGCAACUCGCCUACAUGAAGUCGGAAUCGCUAGUAAUCGCGGAUCAGCACGCCGCGGUGAAUACGUUCCCGGGCCUUGUACACACCGCCCGUCACACCACGAGAGUUUGUAACACCCGAAGUCGGUGAGGUAACCUUUUGGAGCCAGCCGCCUAAGGUGGGACAGAUGAUUGGGGUGAAGUCGUAACAAGGUAGCCGUAUCGGAAGGUGCGGCUGGAUCACCUCCUUU